GACGAACGCUGGCGGCGUGCCUAAUACAUGCAAGUACAACGCUGAAGAGAGGAGCUUGCUCUUCUUGGAUGAGUUGCGAACGGGUGAGUAACGCGUAGGUAACCUGCCUGGUAGCGGGGGAUAACUAUUGGAAACGAUAGCUAAUACCGCAUAAAAUGGAUUAUCGCAUGAUAAUCCAUUGAAAGGUGCAAAUGCAUCACUACCAGAUGGACCUGCGUUGUAUUAGCUAGUUGGUGGGGUAACGGCUCACCAAGGCGACGAUACAUAGCCGACCUGAGAGGGUGAUCGGCCACACUGGGACUGAGACACGGCCCAGACUCCUACGGGAGGCAGCAGUAGGGAAUCUUCGGCAAUGGACGGAAGUCUGACCGAGCAACGCCGCGUGAGUGAAGAAGGUUUUCGGAUCGUAAAGCUCUGUUGUAAGAGAAGAACGAGUGUGAGAGUGGAAAGUUCACACUGUGACGGUAUCUUACCAGAAAGGGACGGCUAACUACGUG
rnacentral:rRNA from 1 species